CUCCAGAGGCUGCGGAAUGAUGGCUUGUAAAUCCCGCCAGGGCCGGAAGGCAGCAACGGUAGCUUGUCCAGCAUUGCCGCAGUUCUCUGGUCCCU
rnacentral:SRP_RNA from 1 species